UAAUACUGCCUGGUAAUGAUGC
rnacentral:miRNA from 3 species